GACGAACCGUACGAACGUUAUUCGGAAUCACUGGCCUUAAAGGGUGCGUAGGCGGCGCGGAAAGUUGGGUGUGAAAUCCCUCGGCUUAACCGAGGAACCGCGCCCAAAACUACCGUGCUCGAGGGAGAUAGAGGUGAGCGGAACUUAGGGUGGAGCGGUGAAAUGCGUUGAUAUCCUAAGGAACACCAGUUGUGAAAGUUGCACAAUGGAUCUCUUCUGACGCUGAGUCACGGAAGCUAGGGUAGCGAACGGG
rnacentral:rRNA from 1 species